GCGACACUAGCUCAGUUGGUAGAGCGCAACCUUGCCAAGGUUCGGGCUCCGAGUUCGAACCUCGUGUGUCGCUCCA
rnacentral:tRNA from 1 species